rnacentral:lncRNA from 1 species
UCUGACCAAUGGGUAGCAAUCCAAUAGACAAGAAUGUCAUAUAGAAACCCAAAUUCCCUUGGACAUUUAGAAUCAAGCAACACACAAUGCAUAUUAUAUCAAUCUUAAAUAGAAAGGCAUCAAAUAAAGAUAGCCACAUCCAAGCUUAUCCACUCCAUGAUUUUCUUCAAAUUAGCCCAUGUAGCAGAUGAAUUCCACAAGUCACAAGUUCAAAAUAAC